rnacentral:rRNA from 1 species
CGUAGGGUGCAAGCGUUGUCCGGAAUUAUUGGGCGUAAAGAGCUCGUAGGCGGUUUGUCGCGUCUGCUGUGAAAUCCCAGGGCUUAACCCUGGGCCUGCAGUGGGUACGGGCAAACUAGAGUGCGGUAGGGGAGAUCGGAAUUCCUGGUGUAGCGGUGAAAUGCGCAGAUAUCAGGAGGAACACCGGUGGCGAAGGCGGAUCUCUGGGCCGUAACUGACGCUGAGGAGCGAAAGCAUGGGUAGCGAACAGG